GAGAAUGAGCUUGGAGCCGCAGGGCUUAAUCCCGCGCGGCUCAGAGAUGGGUUUCUGGACUCGCGAAGCAGCUGCAACAAGGCAUCACUCACUGUAUAAGUAUUUCCAUUUCUGAGAGCAAAAGGAAGAACUUAAGCGGGCGGCACUUGGAGUGUAAAUUGCUUUGUAGUAUUUAAAGGCAGAAUGGAUCCUGGGCAGCCGAGCUGCAACAAACCGGCAGGACUUCCUGUGAAAUCAUGACCACCAUGUGCUCUUUCAGCCUCUAUCAGUUCCUACCUCUAAGCACCUGAGAGCCAAAGCAAACCACAGGAAACCACAGGUACUAACUCUUUUAGACCUGAUGAAGUGUCUCCCAAAUACAGUCUGGCAUGGUGAGUACUGGAGUAACUGGCAAUCUUUUAGAAUGGAGAGAAAAUAAGAAAUUGGGAAAAAUUUGGCAUUUGCUUUCAAUAGAGAUCAGAUUCUGACCUCUGGAAAGAAGAAAUAAGGGAAAAUGUUUAUGAUGGGGAAGGAUCAAAGGGGAACUUGUGGGAAAGGAAGAGGCUGCCAGAAAAGGAGUUUUGAGAUCUGAAAAGAGACUUGUGUAUGUCUGAGGGAAGAGUUGGAGAGAGGUAACCAGGGGAGAAAAUCUGGGAAGUUUUGAGCAGUGAAGAUCUGAUGAGAUGGAAAA
rnacentral:lncRNA from 10 species